rnacentral:rRNA from 1 species
CGGGGUGCAGCAGGCGCGAAACCUUCGCAAUGCGCGAAAGCGUGACGAGGUUAAUCCGAGUGGCUUCCGCUGAGGAAGUCUUUUGCCGACUGUAAAAAGGUCGGAGAAUAAGGGGAGGGCAAGUCUGGUGUCAGCCGCCGCGGUAAUACCAGCUCCUCGAGUGGUCGGGGCGAUUAUUGGGCCUAAAGCAUCCGUAGCCUGUUCCGUAGGUCUCCUGCAAAAUCCAGUCGCUCAACGAUUGGCCCGCAGGAGAUACCGCGGGACUAGGAGGCGGGAGAGGUGGACGGUACUCCACGUGUAGGGGUAAAAUCCUUUGAUCCGUGGAAGACCACCAGUGGCGAAGGCGGUCCACCAGAACGCGCUCGACGGUGAGGGAUGAAAGCUGGGGGAGCGAACCGGAUUAGAUACCCGGGUAGUCCCAGCCGUAAACGAUGCUAGCUAGAUGAUCCAGUCGCAAAUCGCGACUGGAGUGUCGCAGGGAAGCCGUUAAGCUAGCCGCCUGGGGAGUACGGUCGCAAGACUGAAAAAGGAAUUGGCGGGGGAGCAC